CGGAAGCGUAUUUUUAUAUUGUUGCUGCUAAAAAGCUCGUAGUUGAAACUCAAGAGGUUCCUCAUUUGACACUAAACAGUGUCAAUUUGGUGGCCCUCUUUUCUCGAGGUUACUCACCACUUUUCUUAAUUGCAGAGUGGGCGAAAGCACGAGUUCCUUGUUAUUCACUCUGAGAAAACAAGAUUGCUCAAGGAAGGCUUUUAGCUUGAAUUUUGCAGCAGAGGAUGAUGGAAAACGCUUAUUGGCGUUGAGUUGAUAGAUGCCAAUUUGAAUGAUGAAUGGGAGUUUCUGGCGUGGAUCCUACAGGUGUGGGGAGAGGUGAAAUUUGAUGAUCCCACUUUGAGGAACAAAUGCGAAGGCAGUCCACGAAGGAGUAUCCGGGGGUCAAU
rnacentral:rRNA from 1 species